CCACACCGUCGCCUCUCCUCACACUCCCAAAGUCCUCUUCUCUCUCUCUCUGGCAGCCGUCAGGACGACUGCCACACAGCCUUCCCGCUUUGGCCGCACGGUCACCAGAUCCUCCGGUGCCGCUAUCUUCCCUUGAUUUAAACUCUCCGUCUUCCGUUAUCUCUUCUUGGUGUCCCUGUCGGUUUCGCCAGUACAUAACUUAUGCCCACCAUCUGUUUGAUAUUUGGCUUCACAUAUUAGCUCGUGGCCAUUUCCUGUUGUUUUUGGAUGUGUGUUGUUCUUCAUGCUUAAUAUUCCUCAUUUCGUGCAAUUCCGUGUCCAUAAGUUUGACAUAUUUCUUGCUCCUUGUAGAUCAGGGUGCCAGAUUAGUUCCUUUUAUCUGCCCUUAUGAGGGAAUGAUCCGUAGACUUUCGACAAAAUUGUUGAACGUCUGCGUGUCUUCCCUGUGUAAAGCUAGGAACUUGGACAAAGCUGAGGCGGUUAUCAUUGAUGGCAUCAGACUAGGUUGCCUUCCUGAUGUUGUGACGUAUAACACGUUGAUCGAUGCGUACUGCUGUCUGGUAGGCAUAGAUGAAGCAUACGUGAUUCUUUAUAGAAUGAGAGAAGCAGGAGUGAGACCAGAUGUCAUUACUUACAAUUCUUUGAUCGCUGGUGCUACUCGGUGUUGCCUCCCGACACGUUCCCUGGAUCUGUUUGAAGAAAUGCUGCAGGCUGGACUUGUGCCAGAUGUUUGGACUUAUAACACCUUGAUGCAUUGCCUGUUUAAAUGCGGAUACCCAGAGGACGCUUACAAGAUUUAUUUGGAUAUGAUAUCAAAAAAUGUCACCCCUUCUUUGACCACAUACAACACCUUGAUUAAUGGCAUGUGCAAGACAGGGAAUGCUAUGAGUGGCCUCAGGCUCUUUAGGAACUUAGAAAGGCUUGGUUUUUCUGCAGAGCUGGUUACAUAUAAUACAAUAAUCAAUGGCCUUUGUAAAUCUGGUAGGAUAGGUGAAGCAAGAAGGAUUCUCAAGGAGCUGGGUGAAUCAGACUGUGUUCCAAAUGAGAUAACUUAUACGACGGUUAUGAAAUGCUGCUUUCAAAAUGGAAGAUUUGAGCAAGGAUUUGAGAUAUUUUAUGGGAUGAUGAAUAAAGGCUACACUGCUGAUGUCUUUGCGUAUUGUGCAGCAAUAAGUGCAUUGAUCAAGAUGGGUAAUCUUGAAGAUGCUAAUGCUUGUGUAGAGCAGAUGUUAAGAAAUGGCAUAGGUCUGGAUAAAGCAUGUUAUAAUACUAUAAUUUAUCUACAAUGCAAAGAAGGCAAGCUAGACUAUGCAUUCCAGUUGGUUAAUGAGAUGGAAGAAGCUGGCCUUGGGAGUGAUCAAUACACAUACUCUAUACUCAUAGAUGGUUUGUGCAGGAUGGGAUACAUUGAUUCUGCCAACAAGCAACUGCAUAUGAUGGAGAUGAGGGGCUUCCGCUCAAACUUAGUGGCUUAUAAUUGCUUAAUUGAUGGAUUGUGUAAACUAGGAGAAGUGGAUUUAGCCCUCAAGUUAUUCCAUGAGAUGAAAUCCAAGGAUAAUUACACAUACACAUCAAUUGUUAAUGGGCUAUGUAAGAAGAGUAGAUUUCAUGCUGCAUCCAAGCUAUUGCUGAAUUGCUUAAAGGAGGGUAGUAGUGUGCUCACAUCUACCCACCGUGCCGUUAUAGCUGGUCUUCAAAGUACUGGAUUUAGAAGGGAUGCGAAAAGAUUAAGAGCAUCUUUGCGUGUUGCUUGCCUUUUGCGGUACUAAAUUGAGAAACAGCAUGUGAACUUUGUUGGAUAUGAAGCUGUUGGGACAGACUCUUUAUCUGGCCUGAACAUGAAUCAUGCUUCAGGCAGCAUCAGGCAUACGGAUAGCCUGCCUGAGAAUCCAGUGUUGCAUGAUAUGUUUGUGACACUUGAUUCUGCUGAUCUUGGGCCUUGAACAGCUGGAAUGUAUUUCACCUGUAUACAACACAUUGUGCUGCUUUACUUUGGCAAAACAGCACCAGGGAAUGUAUAAGGAUCAAGCUACAGGAAUCACCUCAGCAUGGAUUUGAUGCCUCUUUUACUAUUGCUCAUGAGAACAACCUGACAAAAGUCAGCAUCUUCCAGGACCUGAAGCUCCAUUACUCCAAGGAAAUUGGGAACCAGAAGCUGUUAAGUGUCAAGAAUAUGAUUCUUUGAUAUCAUGUAAUACGCUUGACUGGUUCAUAUUGGCUCAUGAAUUGGGUCGAUGGUGACUGGUUUAAGGAAGGACAUGCUGAACCGAAGUAGGUGGCUUUAACUCACAGGACUGUGAUUGCAACUACUCCAUGGAUGAUUUGAAAAGCCCGCAAUGAUGGUAUGUUUGAUGAAACUAGUCUUCUUCAGCCUUGGACCAUAUUGUUCAAUGUGGUUUUGCUCUUCAUUUUAUGUUACAGCCAAGCCUGAGGGUGGUCGUGGGAAAUGUGUUAUCCUGGUUGGAUGUACUAAGGUUUCUGUUGGAUGGACCUGGCUAAAUUGUGAUGCUUCUUAUGUCGAUAGACAGAAUGGUGGGCUUAGAUUUGUCCUAUUAGAUGCUAGAGGUUGUAUUUUCUCGGGCUGCAGGUAUAUAUUGCUUAGAAUUAGUUUAUACUGUGAAGCAAUGGUCAUACCUGAAGGUCGCAUGUUGCUUGGGAGAGAAGGGUUCGAUAUGUACAUAAGGAGUCCUAAUCUACGGUGACAGUCUACGGUGACAGUGGGCAUCCUUAAUCAGCAUGUAAUCUUGAAUUUAUCAUGUAAUCCUGAAGUUGUUUUGUUUUCUUA